GAUGAACGCUGGCGGCGUGCCUAAUACAUGCAAGUAGAACGCUGAAGGCAGGAGCUUGCUCUUUCCGGAUGAGUUGCGAACGGGUGAGUAACGCGUAGGUAACCUGCCUGGUAGCGGGGGAUAACUAUUGGAAACGAUAGCUAAUACCGCAUAACAGUAGAUGUUGCAUGAUAUCUACUUAAAAGGUGCCAUUGCACCACUACCAGAUGGACCUGCGUUGUAUUAGCUAGUUGGUGAGGUAACGGCUCACCAAGGCGACGAUACAUAGCCGACCUGAGAGGGUGGGCGGCCAGACUGGGACGGUGACACGGCCCAGUGUGCUACGGGAGGCAGCAGUAGGGAAUCUUGGGCAAUGGGCGGAAGUCUGACCGAGAUACGCCGCGUGAGUGAGGAAGGUUUUCGGAUCGUAAAGCUCGGUUGUAAGAGAGGAACGAGUGUGAGAGUGGGAAGUUCACACUGUGACGGUAUCUGACCAGAAAGGGACGGCUAACUACGUG
rnacentral:rRNA from 1 species